rnacentral:rRNA from 1 species
UUGAACGCUGGCGGCAUGCCCUACACAUGCAAGUCGAACGGCAGCACGGGUGCUUGCACCUGGUGGCGAGUGGCGAACGGGUGAGUAAUACAUCGGAACAUGUCCUGUAGUGGGGGAUAGCCCGGCGAAAGCCGGAUUAAUACCGCAUACGAUCUACGGAUGAAAGCGGGGGACCUUCGGGCCUCGCGCUAUAGGGUUGGCCGAUAGCUGAUUAGCUAGUUGGUGGGGUAAAGGCCUACCAAGGCGACGAUCAGUAGCUGGUCUGAGAGGACGACCAGCCACACUGGGACUGAGACACGGCCCAGACUCCUACGGGAGGCAGCAGUGGGGAAUUUUGGACAAUGGGCGAAAGCCUGAUCCAGCAAUGCCGCGUGUGUGAAGAAGGCCUUCGGGUUGUAAAGCACUUUUGUCCGGAAAGAAAUCCUUGGCUCUAAUACAGUCGGGGGAUGACGGUACCGGAAGAAUAAGCACCGGCUAACUACGUG